rnacentral:tRNA from 1 species
GAGGGUAUAGCUCAGUGGUAGAGCACAUACCUGGUGUGCACAAGGUCCUGGGUUCAAUCCCCAGUGCCUCUG